rnacentral:lncRNA from 1 species
CCCAAUUAACGCAACCAGAUCAAUUAGGUCAUUUCACACACCCCAAAUUAGGGUUUUAAAACUUGGCAACUCAUCUGCUCGGACAGAUACGCAGAACACACGGAACCCUCUUGCCUACUCUCACAGCAGGUAUGUGCCUUUCUACCUCUAUGUUUUUCCUCUAUCUAUAUAUGCAGGAUGUAUGGCUGUAAGUCAAAAUUUUUUUUUAUCUGAAAUCUACUUUUAUUGCAUUUUGAAUCAGAACAGAGAAGAAUCAGAGGAGAAAAUGGCCAAGUCGAAGAAUCACACAGCGCAUAAUCAGUCACACAAAGCCCAUAAGAACGGCAUCAAGAAACCCAAACGCCAUCGUCACACAUCCACCAAAGGGGUUCGUCGAAUUCUCCUGAUUGUUCUUCUAUUAUAAUAUAUUUGUUUGUUUGUGUGUGGCUCGCGUUAAGAAGAGUGUGACGUAAUUUCUGUGGAGUAAAAUUAACCUGGGUUGUUCUGAUUUCUCUCCGUAGAUCUAGCAGCAAAUAAAAUGGAAUCGAGAAGAAAGAUUCAUGUAGUCUAUCCAAAUUUAUGGAGGAUAAGGCUUGUUUAUUGUUUUACGAGGGCAUGUGUGUAUAUAUAUCUAUGCAUACAUAAAUUUGUAAUCUUUUUUUAUUUAUGUAUAUAUAGAUGGACCCGAAGUUCUUGAGGAACCAGAGGUACGCAAGGAAGCACAACAAGAAGAGUGGCGACACCGCCACUGAGGAAGAGUAGAUUGAUAUUACACAAUCACCCUUCCCCCUACAUUUGGGAAAUGGAUGAUAGGCAUUUGGGUAUCUGGUGUUUGGGGGUUUUGGGGUUUUUCUAUUAAUUUGAUGAUGAUUAGGGUUUACCUUUUGAUGGAUUAUUGUAAUGAGAUCCUUUUUAUGCCACUAUUAUGUAUGAUGUGAACCAUUAGCUUCUUAUUAUCAAUGCUGUUUGGAAUUCCCAUUUGAGCAACAUGUGAUCGAUAUUAUUUGGGUUUUUUUAAUUUUCAUGUCAUUUUGAUUUGAUUAACAGCUGAUGAUUGCUUUGAUCUUGUUCCUUACUAGCCUGUUUGGUAAGCUAAUAUG